UGGGGAAUUUUGGACAAUGGGGGAAACCCUGAUCCAGCCAUCCCGCGUGUGUGAUGAAGGCCUUCGGGUUGUAAAGCACUUUUGGCAGGAAAGAAACGUCAUGGGUUAAUACCCCGUGAAACUGACGGUACCUGCAGAAUAAGCACCGGCUAACUACGUGCCAGCAGCCGCGGUAAUACGUAGGGUGCAAGCGUUAAUCGGAAUUACUGGGCGUAAAGCGUGCGCAGGCGGUUCGGAAAGAAAGAUGUGAAAUCCCAGAGCUCAACUUUGGAACUGCAUUUUUAACUACCGGGCUAGAGUGUGUCAGAGGGAGGUGGAAUUCCGCGUGUAGCAGUGAAAUGCGUAGAUAUGCGGAGGAACACCGAUGGCGAAGGCAGCCUCCUGGGAUAACACUGACGCUCAUGCACGAAAGCGUGGGGAGCAAACAGG
rnacentral:rRNA from 1 species